rnacentral:rRNA from 1 species
CAGGCCUAACACAUGCAAGUCGAGCGGAUGAAGGGAGCUUGCUCCUGAAUUCAGCGGCGGACGGGUGAGUAAUGCCUAGGAAUCUGCCUAGUAGUGGGGGACAACAGUUGGAAACGACUGCUAAUACCGCAUACGUCCUACGGGAGAAAGUGGGGGAUCUUCGGACCUCACGCUAUUAGAUGAGCCUAGGUCGGAUUAGCUUGUUGGUGAGGUAAUGGCUCACCAAGGCGACGAUCCGUAACUGGUCUGAGAGGAUGAUCAGUCACACUGGAACUGAGACACGGUCCAGACUCCUACGGGAGGCAGCAGUGGGGAAUAUUGGACAAUGGGCGAAAGUCUGAUCCAGCCAUGCCGCGUGUGUGAAGAAGGUCUUCGGAUUGUAAAGCACUUUAAGUUGGGAGGAAGGGCAGUAAGUUAAUACCUUGCUGUUUUGACGUUACCAACAGAAUAAGCACCGGCUAACUUCGUGCCAGCAGCCGCGGUAAUACGAAGGGUGCAAGCGUUAAUCGGAAUUACUGGGCGUAAAGCGCGCGUAGGUGGUUCAGUAAGUUGGAAGUGAAAGCCCCGGGCUCAACCUGGGAACUGCUUUCAAAACUGCUGAGCUAGAGUACGGUAGAGGGUAGUGGAAUUUCCUGUGUAGCGGUGAAAUGCGUAGAUAUAGGAAGGAACACCAGUGGCGAAGGCGACUACCUGGACUGAUACUGACACUGAGGUGCGAAAGCGUGGGGAGCAAACAGGAUUAGAUACCCUGGUAGUCCACGCCGUAACGAUGUCAACUAGCCGUUGGAAUCCUUGAGAUUUUAGUGCGCAGCUAACGCAUUAAGUUGACCGCCUGGGGAGUACGGCCGCAAGGUUAAACUCAAAUGAAUUGACGGGGGCCCGCACAAGCGGUGGAGCAUGUGUUUAUUCGAAGCAAG